UACGUAGGUGACCAGCGUUGUCCGGAUUUACUGGGCGUAAAGAGCGCGCAGGCGGUCGUUCAAGUCGAGUGUGAAAGCCCCCGGCUCAACUGGGGGGGUCAUUCGAUACUGAUCGACUGGAAGGCAGGAGAGGGAAGCGGAAUUCCCGGUGUAGUGGUGAAAUGCGUAGAUAUCGGGAGGAAUACCAGUGGCGAAGGCGGCUUCCUGGCCUGUUCUUGACGCUGAGGCGCGAAAGCUAGGGUAGCAAACGGG
rnacentral:rRNA from 1 species